AGGCAAGGAAUUCUGGGAAACGUAGUUCCCGCUUAGCUAGGUUGACAUGGUACAAAGCCACAUUACCACGCUAAGUGUGGCUUUGAUUUUUAGAAACCGCCUCAUGCUAAGUCUAGGGAAUACAGUGGUUGAAUGGGGUGAGCGCUGACCUUUAGCUAUUCUGGAGGAACAUGUCACUUUCACUUAUUUUCUUUCAUGUUUUCCCACCCAGUGCUAUGGACUCUGAUCGCCCAACCAGAGCAAACCCAGAAGGACAACUCUCCAAGCCUUUCAAUCACUCCCACUAACCCGUAUUGUGGACACACUAUUGUGAGGCCUACUAAGGAUGUACUGCUGAUGACCUUUUGAAGAGUGGCUAGUGGUUGGCCCAUGUAGGCUGAGCUCAGCUGGUCCAUCCUUCUUGGACCCACAGACUCCCUGGGGCAUGUUCUUCUCAUGAUGAUGACUGCAACACAAGAGGGCAAGACAUCCUACACAAGCACAUUUCAAGAUUUUGCUCACAUCAUCUCUGCUAAAAUUCCUUUAUCCAAAGCAAGGAACACAACUGGUUCAAAUAAGCACAGGCCUCCAAAUAUCCAGAUCUAAAAAUGGAGUGUUCACCUCAAGCUCCUUAUUUAUCACUGCAAGAGAUUCUGGGGCUGGCAGCUAGUGACAUGAGCUGGAAUCCUCUUCCUGAAAUUGCUGUCUUCUUGGAUGGGCUCUCCACAUCUUCCACCACGAAGUAAAAACAAUUCUUGUGGGUGCCAGUGGACCUGCUCUGCAGACCCAGGCUCCUCUCCCAUGGAGCAUCCCAAGUCUGUCCUUAUGGGAAGAAGCAGGAGCCCUGUCUGGCUGUACCCCAAGCUGCUUUCUCUGGACCAAUGCUGUCAGCGAUAGAGCAAACAAGCCAAACAGCAGCUUGAAAAAUGCUUUCUACUUGGACAUACCCUCUUGCUACAGGGAACCCUUCCACCAUCAUGUGAAGAAGCCUGGUCUAGCCUGCUGGAGGAUGAGAGAUCACAUGGAAUGAGGCCACAAUCGUUCCAGCCAAAGCCCCAGUAAUAGAAUUAAGAUCAUCCAAGACCAUGGCAUCCCGCCUGAGAAGUUCAGAUGAGAAGGGCCACCUGAACAACCAACAGAAUCUUAAAAAGUAAAAAAUGAGUGUUGCCACUAUGCAUCUAUUAGAAUGGCAGAAAUCGAAGACACUGACAACAACAAAUGCUGGUGAGGAUGUGGAGCAACAGGAACUCUCACUCACUGAAGAUGGAAAUGCAAAAUAGUGCAGCUACUUUGGAAAACAGCUACUUUGGCUGUUUCUUACAACACUAAAUAUGCUAUUAUUAUAUGAUCCAGAAGUUUUGCUCCUUAGCACUUACCCAAAAAAGUUGAAAACUUAUGUACACACAAAAACCUGCACAUGGAUAUUCACAGCAGUUUUUGAUAUGGUUUGGCUCUGUGUCCCCACAGAAAUCUCAUCUUGUAUUUGUAUAAAUUUAUGGGGUACAAGAGUAAUUUUGUUAGCAUGCAUAGACAUGCAUAGACUGCAUAGCUCCCAUAAUUCCCACAUGUUGUGGGAGGGACCAGGUGGGAGGUGAUUGAAUCAUAGGGGCAGGUCUUUCCUGUCUUGUUCUUGUGAUAGUGAGUGGGUCUCACAAGAUCUGAUGGUUUUAAAUAACAGGAAUUUAUCUGCACAAGCUCUUUUAUUUUGCCUGCUGCCAUCCACAUAAGAUGUGACUUGCUCCUCCUUGCCUUCUGCCAUGAUUGUGAGGCCUCCCCAGCCAUGUGGAACUGUAAAUCCAAUUAAAUCUCUUUCUUUUGUAAA
rnacentral:lncRNA from 1 species